rnacentral:rRNA from 1 species
GAUGAACGCUGGCGGCGUGCCUAAUACAUGCAAGUUGAACGCACAGCGAAAGGUGCUUGCACCUUUCAAGUGAGUGGCGAACGGGUGAGUAACACGUGGACAACCUGCCUCAAGGCUGGGGAUAACAUUUGGAAACAGAUGCUAAUACCGAAUAAAACUCAGUGUCGCAUGACACAAAGUUAAAAGGCGCUUUGGCGUCACCUAGAGAUGGAUCCGCGGUGCAUUAGUUAGUUGCUGGGGGAAAGGCCUACCAAGACAAUGAUGCAUAGCCGAGUUGAGCGACUGAGCGGCCACAUUGGGACUGAGACACGGCCCAAACCCCUACGGUAGGGUGCAGUAGGGAAUCUUCCACAAUGGGCGAAAGACUGAUGGAGCAAAGCCGCGUGUGUGAUGAAGGCUUUCGGGUCGUAAAGCACUGUUGUAUGGGAAGAACAGCUAGAAUAGGGAAUGAUUUUAGUUUGACGGUACCAUACCAGAAAGGGACGGCUAAAUACGUGCCAGCCGCCGCAGUAA